UUUUGUUUUUGUUUUUGUUUUUUGCUUUUGUUUUUUCAUAUCAGGUUUCAGGCAAGAAAAAGAAAGAAAAGAA
rnacentral:ribozyme from 1 species